rnacentral:tRNA from 1 species
GCGGGCUUGGCCGAUCGGUUAGGCCGUGGCCUUCCAAGCCAUUCAGGCGAGUUCAAUUCUCGCAGCCCGCUCCA